rnacentral:rRNA from 1 species
UACGAAGGGUGCAAGCGUUACUCGGAAUUACUGGGCGUAAAGCGUGCGUAGGUGGUUCGUUAAGUCUGAUGUGAAAGCCCUGGGCUCAACCUGGGAAUGGCAUUGGAAACUGGCGACCUAGAGUGCGGUAGAGGGUAGUGGAAUUCCCAGUGUAGCAGUGAAAUGCGUAGAGAUCGGAAGGAACACCAGUGGCGAAGGCGGCUACCUGGCCUAAUACUGACACUGAGGCACGAAAGCGUGGGGAGCAAACAGG